rnacentral:rRNA from 1 species
CCUACGGGUGGCAGCAGUGAGGAAUAUUGGUCAAUGGGCGCGAGCCUGAACCAGCCAAGUCGCGUGAGGGAAGACGGUCCUAUGGAUUGUAAACCUCUUUUGUCGGGGAGCAAAAGACGCCACGCGUGGCGUUCCGAGAGUACCCGAAGAAAAAGCAUCGGCUAACUCCGUGCCAGCAGCCGCGGUAAUACGGAGGAUGCGAGCGUUAUCCGGAUUUAUUGGGUUUAAAGGGUGCGCAGGCGGAAUGUCAAGUCAGCGGUAAAAUUUCGGGGCUCAACCCCGUCGUGCCGUUGAAACUGGCGUUCUUGAGUGAGCGAGAAGUAUGCGGAAUGCGUGGUGUAGCGGUGAAAUGCAUAGAUAUCACGCAGAACUCCGAUUGCGAAGGCAGCAUACCGGCGCUCAACUGACGCUCAUGCACGAAAGCGUGGGUAUCGAACAGGAUUAGAUACCCUUGUAGUC